rnacentral:rRNA from 1 species
CAAUAGCGUAUAUUAAAGUUGUUGCAGUUAAAAAGCUCGUAGUUGAAUUUUUGCUUGCCGCCGAUGUCGGAACUUCCGUACGUUCGGCGGCGUGCAUCCUUGGGUGGAACCUGUGUGGCAUUAGGUUGUCGUGCAGGGGAUGCUCAUCGUUUACUGUGAAAAAAUUAGAGUGUUCAAAGCAGGCUUAUGCCGUUGAAUAUAUUAGCAUGGAAUAAUAAGAUAGGACCUUGGUACUAUUUUGUUGGUUUGCGCACCGAGGUAAUGAUUAACAGGGACAGUUGGGGGUAUUCGUAUUCCAUUGUCAGAGGUGAAAUUCUUGGAUUUCUGGAAGACGAACUACCGCGAAAGCAUUUACCAAGGAUGUUUUCAUUAA